rnacentral:rRNA from 1 species
GAUGAACGCUGGCGGCGUGCCUAAUACAUGCAAGUCGAGCGAACAGAUGAGGAGCUUGCUCCUCUGACGUUAGCGGCGGACGGGUGAGUAACACGUGGAUAACCUACCUAUAAGACUGGGAUAACUUCGGGAAACCGGAGCUAAUACCGGAUAAUAUAUUGAACCGCAUGGUUCAAUAGUGAAAGACGGUUUUGCUGUCACUUAUAGAUGGAUCCGCGCCGCAUUAGCUAGUUGGUAAGGUAACGGCUUACCAAGGCAACGAUGCGUAGCCGACCUGAGAGGGUGAUCGGCCACACUGGAACUAAGACACGGUCCAGACUCCUACGGGAGGCAGCAGUAGGGAAUCUUCCGCAAUGGGCGAAAGCCUGAUGGAGCAACGCCGCGUGAGUGAUGAAGGUCUUCGGAUCGUAAAACUCUGUUAUUAGGGAAGAACAAAUGUGUAAGUAACUAUGCACGUCUUGACGGUACCUAAGCAGAAAGCCACGGCUAACUACGU